UACGUAUGGUGCAAGCGUUAUCCGGAUUUACUGGGUGUAAAGGGAGCGCAGGCGGCGCGCUAAGUCUGAUGUGAAAGCCCGGGGCUCAACCGCGGGACUGCAUUGGAAACUGGCGGGCUGGAGUGCCGGAGAGGUAAGCGGAAUUCCUAGUGUAGCGGUGAAAUGCGUAGAUAUUAGGAGGAACACCAGUGGCGAAGGCGGCUUACUGGACGGUGACUGACGCUGAGGCUCGAAAGCGUGGGGAGCAAACAGG
rnacentral:rRNA from 1 species